UCGGCCGCUCCGCCUGACGCGUCCGGUGGAGGGAGAGGCAUCUGGAGAGGAGAGAAGACAUUAGCAUUUGUCGUCGCCGGCGGCGCGCAAGCUGUAGCGGCCGCCUGAGUCGAGGGGUAGGAUGACUAGACUGCGCGGUCCAGCGACAAGCGCGGAGGAGAGUGGCGGCCCCGUCGUCGUCGGCGCGAGGGAGCUGAAGAGGUGCGGAGCCGGGUUCGGCAUCAUCGUCGCGGUCGAAUCGACCGCGAAGGCGCGGAACGGCGAUGCGCUGGCGGUGGCAAUGGCCAGCUGCUGGCGCCACCAACAGUGGGGGGAACCGCGCCCGGAGCGACGGCGCACCGCGGCGUGGCCCGACGGUGGCAGCGGGAGUGGGGCGCCAUGGCCGCAUCCGGGCUAGCGUGGCCGGGCGAAUAGCGCGACCAGGUGAUGCUAAGUGUCAUGAAUCGCAGUCCUGCUCCUAAUCCUAAGUUCAUGUGGUCAUUAGAGCAAUUGGGCUCGAAUACAAGUUGCAGCUCCAAUCAGGCUAAACGCGUUAGCCAUUUAGCUGCAGCAAAGUAAGCAUCUGACAUGGCGAGUUGCAUGUAUCUAUCAGGCAUUCCACAAUUUCGACAUGUAGUUUAUGCUCAUUUUUGCCAUGCUGCCGAUGCAUAUAAGGACUAGUACUGUAUUGAGUCCAGUUGGUCACUUUUUGUAGUGUUUCCAAGGCCUGUGAUAGAGCAAGAUUUUAAUUCCACGUAUUAAUUGAUGUUUUUAUUUCAAGGUAGUUCCGGCAGGCCUUAUGACACAAGAACGCCAUGAUCACAUACAAGUAUACAACAGUUGCAAAGAUUCCAGGCAUGCUCAAUGGUGGAAAGUUUGAGCCAAGUUGCAAAGAUUCUAGGUGGCUGCAACAUCGAUGAAUAAAUUGAAAUCCCUAGGAAAGGUGGCAACAGUAGAACUCAUGUGGGUAAUCGGAAAACGGAGUACACAGGUGUGGCGGUUCACCAAAGGGUAGGGCUGAAAGAGGAGGAUGGUCAUCAAUGGCAUUGAGCUUGCCAUGAGCUAUGGUACCGUUGUUGAGGAGGGAGAGUCAGUGGUGGUAGUGGUCUUGCCACGAGUAAGGUGCUGUCAUUGAAGAGUCAGUGGCCGGAAGCUGAUUGUUGGUUUUGCAGAUAAAAACUCUGAAUAUUGAACUUCCCCCUUGGUGAAAACCUUGCAGCCCAAUCUCAAUUACAUUGUUACAUGGUUCAUCUUUCUUUUGCUCUUAGGGCGUGUUUGGUCCGGCUCCUGCUCCGGGCUUCUCAGUGGAUAUUUGUGGUACUUGUCUGCAAGCUGGGAAAGCAGUAUGACAAACUGACAACACCAUUUGGGAUUGUUCUCCAAGGGCUACAAAACAUAGCAUAUGUCAUCAUUUAACCAUCUGGAACUCCAGAUCAUCGUGCUUUCCCUACAUUAUUAUUGUCUUGCAAGUUACUUCAUGCACAGGCCAAUAUAAGAUGGAUGACAUAUGCACAAAGAAAAAAGGGAAAAAAAAGGGCAGAGAUGCAACACUUAUGCCUUCAAACAAAAUGGGUUGAGACUACUUUGAUCCCAAAUGCUUGGGGGCCUGGUGAGAGAUACAAGAAAAGCAUACCUUAAUUUACCCUUCCUCAUAUUUCAAGAAACGUAUACAUAAAAGGGCAUAGAACCAGCAGUAUCUCUAGAAAGAGUGCUUCUUUAGUGCUCUGCUCUCACAAGAAAGGAACAUGUACCCAAUCGGGGCCUUAAAUUAAGAUUAUGCAGAAGCUAAUGCAGUUCUACAUGCCAAAGCAAGGAAGAAAUAUCAUUGGGCUUUCAGCUCAAAGUAGACCAAACAAUCAUCUCUUCUAAGGACAAACUUGUAACUUCUUCCAACUCUCAUUAUGGUUUCACCUAAAGGGAUUACAAUUUAAUUUUCAAUAUAUAAAGGGUUAACAUGAUGUAGUGCCGAUGGACCAUGCUGGUUGUUCACUAGCUGUACAGGAGAAAAAAUCAUAUGAGAAUUCACGAUUGAACCCUUGCUUGGACUAAGUUUUGGCUGAAUGCACCUCCGCGCCUCAUUAUUCCAAUGAAGCAUGGGUGGUCUGAGACAUAGGAAAGCUAUAGUGCACAAUGGAGAACUUGAUCAAACUAUUUAACGGCUGGGAAAUUCAACUGCUUGUGCUUCUUAGCUUCACACUACAAUUAUUCCUCUUCUUUACUGGUCACCUUCGGCGGCGUAGCGCCAACAUGUUCCCUCAGUUCUCAAUUUGGAUAGCAUAUUUGGGAGCAGAUUGGCCAAAUGGCCAAAUCUUCACCCUGUUUUGAGACAUCCAAAAGUUUAUGGUUCCAUGUUGGAUUUUGACUAUACUAUUGUCUUUAUGCAUGUGCUCACCGAGGUACGCCUGAGUAAAUACUGUUGAGAAAAAACAUGAAUUUUAAUGUUUCACCUGGGCCCUUUUCUGUGCUGGACCGGUUGGCCCAAUUGUCUUUGUGGUCUCCAGGCCCAUGCGAUGCUGGAUAAAUGAGCUGGACAUUGGUUCGGUUAGGGUAAGCAGGGAAAAGGAGAGAGCAGAGAGAGAUAGAUGGCAGCAGCCGUAUGCUGUGGUGGCGGCGCCACUUCCAUGCGGUUCCUUUGGGAGUCGUGGGUGGUGGAAGGCGCAGAUGCCUCCAUUGCUAGGGCGGCUCCCUCUCUUUGUGAAGUGCAGAGGAAAAUUUCUUCUCCGGUGUGGAUUUGAAUCCUCUCAUUUUUCCUUGUUUCCUAUCUGAUCUCCUUCUUCCUGCUAUGGAUCACCACCUCUUAGCCUGAGGCGAGAGUUGCUCGAUCUUUGUCCUUGGUGGUGUUGUGGUUGAAGAGAUUGAGUGAAGGAGCAUCUGUGUUGGAUUUUGGCCGGAGCUAUGAAUGCCGAGGCUUACCCGCACGAGCUGAAUGCGGUGCAGUGAGGCUUUGUACCUUUGUUUUUCUCGCCGGUGGCAACGGCGACGAAUAGGAUUUCUGGGACAGCGACCUUCGACUCGUGCCUUGCAUCCAUUGAUUUGCUUUUAAGUGAAUCUCACUGUGAGUAUUUCGAUUUCACUUCUCUUUUCCAUCUCUCUAUUAAUCUGGUCGGCUUGGUUGAAAUGAAAUGCUCUGCGAUAUCGAUGGUACACUGAAAUUGGUAAUGUGAUCUGAGUAAACUAGUUUCUAACCUGUAAAGUUCUCUAGUUGUUUUAACUCUGCUUGUUGUAUCUCUGAAUGGGUGCUGUUGUUGAUCCAUUUUGGUCAGGUGCGAUAGGUGUUUUAUUCUUUUACUGUCCAGAUGGGUCAGUGAUUGAUUUGGCGAACUAAUGCUCUGUGGUUAAUCUGACUAUAUCAAUGAUUUGACUUCUUUCUCUGAAUAUUUGUUUUUUUUGGGUAGAACAACAACACUGCCACCUUAAUUGUUUCGUCUAGAGUUGGUAUACAGGUUAUGAAACUAGUAAAGGCUUAGAUUCAUUCCAAUUUAUGAUGUGUACAGGUUAUGAAACUAGUAAAGGCUUAGAUUCAUUCCAAUUUAUGAUGUGUAGCUUGCAAUAGGGGGCAAGACUUUAACUGUCUUGGGGCCAUGUGUUGCAAAUCACUUGAGAGCUCUUUUAUCUAAUUUAUUCAAUUGAUGUUCAGUACACAUGUUUGUUGUGAUUAUCACUUGGAACUGCUACUGUUUUCUUGUGAUAUCAUGUGUAAGAGAGAUGGUAUAUUCACUUGUUGUUCAGUACUGUUUUUCUAUACAUGAUGAAUGAUAUAUUUGUUUUUCAACCGGUGGCUCAUUUUGAUAGAUCAUGUUUAUCAUCUAUGGCAUGUUAUGCUGUUUCUAUUCUAUAUGUGGGAUUGUGUUAAUGCUCUUUUUGUCGCACAUUAAACAACAAUCUAGAAAUCCUAUUGCUUCUGUGAUGGCUAGUUCUAGCUCUUCUACCCCAUCACUGUCGUCCUCGGACACGAUUAAGUCUAAGCUUCGAUGGGGCCGGCUUUAAGCGUUGGCAGGACAUGACGAGGCUAUGGUUGAUGGUGCUCGAACUUUUCUAGGUCCUCACCGAAGAGUCGUCCACCUCUCUGAGAGAAGCUGUGCAAGACGAGGUCGAAAGAACGCGUCUCGAUCGACGUGUUAAGGGUUCGUUGGGAGAUGGCUAAUGCCUCUGCCCUAGCAUGUCCUUUGACCGUCCUAUUGAACAGGCUCUUCGACGUCUACGUGAGGUUCGAGGAAGCGCACAAGGUGUGAUCAGAGCUGAAUGACAAGUAUACUGAAAGAGACAACGACAAUGAGUCCUUCAUAGCGGCCAAUUAUCUGAACUUUUGUAUGGGAGAUGGCAGAUCAGUCAUGGAGCAAAUCCAUAAGUUACAGCUAAUCGUGCGAGACCUAGGCCAGUAUGAUUGUGUCCUUCCUGAGAAUUUUUAGGAUAAUGCCAUUCUAGCCAAGCUGUUUGCUUCUUGGCGUGACUUAGUCACUGCGCGUCGGCACUUAAAGCAGCGAUUGACUCUUAGCGAGCUCAUUGCUGCUAUAAAUGCCGAGGAGAAGUCCAAGGCAUGCUAUGGUGGGAUGAAGGCGCCCGCUCAAGCUAACCUUGUUGAGCACAAGAACCAUCCUGAGAGGAAUAUGAAGAAAGAGAAGACCAAGCCUAGAUUCUCAGGACCGAAGGCUAAUGCUAUGAUACUGGCAAAGGCAACUCCACUAGUGGGGCGCAGAUGGUGGAUCCGUAUUGAUGGGGAAUGGGGUUGAGGCAGCAGUACGUGGAGUAGAGCAAGUGAGUCUAAAGCUAACUUCCGGUAAGACUCUUGUCCUGAAGGACGUGCUGUUUGUAUUUGCCAUGACCCGUAAUCUACUUAGCGGAUCAAUAUUGUGCCGACAAUGAAUAAAGUUAGCAUUCGAGUCAAAUAAAGUAGUGUUGUCCAGGUGUGAUUCGUUUGUAGAAAAAGGCUAUAAUUGCGGAGGCAUGUUCCACAUUUCUAUUCUUGAUAGUUCUGCAAACAUUUUCUAUUCUUCAUAUUCUAAUAAGAACAUUGAUAUUUGGCAUUCUCGUCUUUAUCAUGUUACUAAUAAAGCAAUAGUGCGUUUGAGCAAGAUGGAUCUUAUUCCCUCAUGUAAUUAUGACAAGAGCCAUAAGUGUGAGGUGUGUGUGCAAGCUAAUGUGUGCAAGCUAAAUAGCCCCGCAAACCGUUACACUCGGUUGAGGGGAGAAGCACCACGUCACUUGAGCUGAUCCAUUCUAACCUUUGUGAGAUGAAUGAAAUACUAACUAAGGGUGACAAAAGAUACUUCUUUACUCUUAUAGAUGAUGCUAUCAUGAUUCUGCUAUAUCUAUUUGCUUAGGACAAAAGAUGAAGCAUUAGAAUAUUUUAAGAUUUAUAAGGCUAAGGUGAAAAACCAACUGGGGAAGAUAAUAAAGAGACUGAGGUCUGACAGAGGUGGGGAAUAUAUUCCCAGGGAUUUCUCCGAGUUCUAUGAAGAAAUUGGCAUAAUCCAUAAGUUUAUGCCACCAUACUCACCACAGGCUAACGGAGUAGCCGAGAGAAAGAACCGAACGAUUUGUGACUUGGUUAAUGCCUUGUUACAAAGUUCUGGUAUGGCUAACUCAUGGUGGGGUGAGGCUGCUCUCACAGUUAAUUAUGUCCUGAACAGGGUUGCACUUCGAAUUCGCGAGGCAACCCCUUAUGAAUGAUGAAAGGAGAGAAAAUCGAAUUUGUCCUUUCUUCGCACAUGGGGUUGUUUAGCAAAAGUACAUGUUCCCCUGUCGAAGAAGAGGAAGUUAGGACCAAAGAUUGUCGACUGUGUCUUUCUGCAGUAUGCACACCAGAGUACCUCCUAUAGAUUACUAGUGGUCUAUUCUGAUGUCUCAGACAUUACUGUCAACUCGAUAAUGGAGUCUCGAGAUGCUACAUUCUUUGAGCACAUCUUUCUUAUGCGAUAAAAGGAAGUAGUUACCCAUGAUCUUUUAGUUGAUGAUUCUGUUCCUCAGAGUGUUGGAGACACGGUUCCUGAAUUGGAACUUAGAAGGAGCAAGAGGCAAAGAAUUGAAAAAUCACUGAGAGAUGACUUUGUCACCUUUGUCGUGGAUGGUGAAGCAUGAAACCUUUCAGAGGCAUACGAUUCUCCAGAAGCG